rnacentral:rRNA from 1 species
AUGCAGGAGGGUGAUUACACCGCGGCCCUGAGGCUCGCGGUUGUCACCAUCGAGCCGCCGAACGCGUUCCACAACGACACGGCGGCGGUCCAAGCGGCUCUCCUCAGCGACAUCGGCCACAUCCUCCCGGAGACGAUCCCGUCGUCGAUCGGGUCCAUGUAUCUCCGCUUCGCAUCUCCAGCGGACCACGAGGAAGCCAUGCGGCACCAGCCAUUCAUGCACGAGGGUGCGCGCAUCGACCUACACCGCGAGGAGUGGUACGGGCGUACGCAUGUGCUUGCUAGGACGUGCGCCCUCCUAGCUGCCACCUGCUUCCCCGCCGAGCACCUCAACCGCGCUGGCAUUUCGGCUGCGUUCGCCUCCUUUGGCAAGGUGCUGGAGAUUGAUCCUUUGGUGCUUGCGGGGAGGGACCUCGCCACUGUUCACGUGGUGGUCCGUCUCUGCAACCCUCGUGAUGUCCAUUGCGAUGUCUGGCCGAUCGGCAGCCGCUGA